ACGGCCGGGGGCAACCUGGGCGAGCUGAGCCUUCUUCCAAGAAAAGUUCUUGGAGGCCAAGCUUGAGACCGCUUGAGUGGAGCAACCUGUUAAGUUUUGGUCCUUACCCUGAGCCCCAGGAGUACCCAGGCCAAGGACUUCUCCACUUUUAGAUUCUUAUUCUGAGUUAUCUACUGACCAAUUGAGGACAGAGAGCAGAAAAGAGAGAAGAUGCCUGAGAGUCCCCUUGUACUGAGAAGCUUAAAGAGAGGGGAAUGAUGAAGUCUCACGCUCUGAGGCAGUUGAGCCACCACUGAGCCACACCCCCAGGUACCAAGGUUCCUUCCAGAUACUGUACCCUGGGCAGGCUGGGAUAAGCCUCGUUGACCUGGUGUGGGGCAUCUCUGUUCCAAUGCUUGCCUCCCAUGUGCCAAGCCCCGAGUUCAAUCCGAGCGACUACAGAACAAAGCUGAAGUAGGACCUGGAGCCGGUAGUGUGGCUCACUUGGAAGAAUGCUUGCCCAGCGCCUCGUAAACCAGGCCCACACCUGUGGUCCCAGCACCUGGGAGAUGGAGAUGAGAUCAAGGUCAUUUUCAGCUACAGAUGAUUUUGAGUCCUGAUCCAGCAUGGGCUACCUGAGCUUCUGUGUCAAAGAGAAACAAAGAAACAAAAACUGAGGGCUCUCUUCACUCCUGGCCCCAGUGCUGGUGCUGGCUGAAGGUUCCAAGCGUCCCCACAUCUGUGUCCUCAUGGCACCUACCUGGCUCUGGAAUUUCUCAAACCUGCCAUUCUGCCUCCAGGAGAAUGUAAAAGUGUGGGUCUCACUGGUGACCUCAGAGGACCUGAGAAGGGGGAAGAGAAAGGGAGACAUAAACAGGGCUGUGAAGAGCAGGGCUUUUUCCAGACCUGACCCAGGGUGGGUCUUGUGCCUGCUGUGGUGGCUCUUGUACCCUCUGCUUAGCUUAUUUGGUGAAGGAUCAAUGCAUGUGACCAAACUCUCCAGGGUUUAGAAGACAGCUGUCCUGGCUGAUGUGCUGCCGAGCAUUCUGAAGGUCCCCGAGAUGGCCUGCUGAUGAGUCAGGAGCUGUUAGUGGUCACUCUAACUGUGUAGAAAGCUGGAGAAAAUCUGAGGCACAGAGGCAGACUGGCUGAAGAGAAGACAGGAAUUGGUAGCAGGCCAUACCCAGCGUCUUUAGCAGACUUCAGUCUGCCUCAAGUCUGG
rnacentral:lncRNA from 1 species